AUAGUAGAGCUAUAUUGAGUAGAAUGCAUGAUACAAGAGAAAAGUGAUUAUAUUGUUAUACAAGUGUGAAAAUAAAUUUCUUAAUGAGGAUUAAAUGAACUUGGAAUAUGUCUUGGACAUAGUUGCCAAUGCUUAAUGACAAUAGAGACAGAGUGUCAUAAAGGACAGGCACUUGAAUAUAGUAUCUAUGAAAAUGAAAACUUAGAGACAUUUGAUUUGAUAGCCACAAUGGUCAUUGCCAUUUAUUCCAUGUUAGAGACAUGAUGACAUAGAGAUAGGCUUUUGGACAGUCCGAUCAUUCCAUGUUAUUAGAAUGAGGACUUUGGUAUUUUUGUGACAGACCAGAUUUGACUACUUGCCAGAUUUGAUGCUCAUUGGCACAUCUGUGUGAGGGUCGUCCUUACAAAGCGGCACUCCGGAGAAGCCAUUUAGCAGAUUCAUAUUAGCCGUUGCUGGGAAUUGAAGGACGACCGAAGACUGGAAUUUGCCGUGAGGCCAGAGCUCAUUCCUAGGUUGGGGAAUGAUGCACUACACUGAAGGCCAUUAGGCUCGGCACAGGCACACAGCUCGGGUGGUGUUCAGGGCUAUAGUAAGCUUCGGGUGUAUGGUUCUUCUUCAGAUGUUGACUUGAGUAUUUCAUUAUGAGCAUGUGGAUAAGUAUGAUGACUUAGCUGUAUCUAUGCACAUUGAUAAAAUAGUAAACCACGGAACUUUACUUUCGCCAUUGUGAAAUUUAGAUACGCUUAGGAGACUUGUUACUUGAUGGCAUAGUUGCUUUCAUUACUUAUGCUUUUAUGCUAAGUAGUAGAUUAUUCUAUGUUGUAGUAAGUUACAUUUUACUUACCUUUUCGCUUAUAUAACCUUUUCAACUCAUUUUAUAGUCAUGAAUCUCUUGUAGCGUUGAUGGGGGUCUUGUGGUGCUUCACUGAAGUCAGUAAUUGCCCACUGGGAACUUAUUUUUUAAUAGUUCUGGCCUGUAUUUAUGGUAUUACUCUCCAGAUGUAUUUAUUCGGCCACCGGCGGAGGCACGGGAUCGCGGCAAGGGGAUCGCUUAUGCUUAGCGUUAGCGCAGGAGCGGCUACUUUUGCCUAGUGGUUUUACUCUUUUUUUUUGUAGUGAGAGUGUGAGAGGAUUUUGUAUCCAUGUAUUAGAGACCACCUAUGUAUCUACUAUAGCAAUUGUAUCAUUUAAUGAUUUAUUCAGUGGAUUUAAGUUUUUAUCCUUAUCUUUGUGUAGGCAUUUAGACUUUUAUUCAUGCUCUGAUAACUCCUAUGAUGUCUUUUUUAUUGCUUUAUUAUGUUGUUUUUUAGAGCGCUUAUACGUUUUAGACCGUAUAUGCGCGCGGUCUUGGCACGUGUCCGGGCGUGGCUUUCCGCUGGGGGUCCGAGGCGUUGACAGAUUAAUUUCGGUAUCAGAGCCUGGGUUGAGUCUGUAGGGACUAAUAACCCUUCGGCGGUUGCGACUAUAGGAAUAGGCUCGUUGAGAGACGAGCGUCUAUUCGACUUCGUGAGCGAAAGUAUCAUAAUUGGGUAUUGAUAACUAUAAAAAGUUGAGUUGAUUGGAGUGUUUUGGCUUCUAACUUGCGGAGGGUUACGGUUGGCGUGUGCCGACAACGUAACAUCAGAGUUAGUUGUGGAUAACACUUCCUUACUUUCGGAUGAUUGGGUUGUUUUUUGAGUGGGGAUCUGAUAGCGUGAGUAUUUCUAACUUGCACUUUUAUGAUGUUGUCAGUGACGAUGCCGAAUGCUCGCUCCUAUCCUGCCGGGUGCGACACAAUGCCGGCAUAUAUACUUUCUCUGAGGAGGUCUGAGACCUCCGCUACUCGGAUUCAGCGAGGUCCGUGGUUGAAGUGGUGUCCAGCUUCCGCGACCCUGAUGAUCUGGUCACUCAGACGGCGGAGGCGGCCGACAGCAGACGAGGCGGCAAGCCGACAGGAGGCUGGGGGGACACUGGAUGAAGCGUCUGGUAUGGACCUACUAUUGCUGCAGGCGGCAGCUUUCCUAGUGGAUUGAUCAGGUUUUAUCCAGUUGUGGUACGUGUAGGCACCAGGCAGCCGUCCCUCGGCGCCCAUUCUUUGCGUGCGGCGCCUGCGGCCGCACCCCAGGAGGCGAGGUUUUCGGUGGCAACACCUGUGCUAAGGCCCCGUUUGAGAGCAAAGCCUUUCCCUACCUUGGUCUGAAGGGGGCGAAGCGAGAAGACUGAUGGGAGCCUCAAUGAGUUCAGGAGGUGCCGCCCGUAGUCUUCCGAUGCGAGAGAAGUCGGGACACUAGAUCGUGGAGAAGUGGUUGAUGAUAUGGAAGAAGCUCUUCGCGAAUCAUUGUAGAGUAGAGAACAGAGUUUUGCUCGCCACUCACGAUUAUUGGACGGCCUUGACGCGCCUUUUUACCUCACUUCGCUGGUGGUUGGAUCUUCAAGAGAAACCCGCACAGACUUGGCCCAGCUAUUAUUGACGAGGUCUUCAAGAGCUUUCUUCUGGCCGCACUACUUUCCCGACAGCGUCAGGAGGCAAGAUUGGCAGCAGGGAUUUGCGCAGGUUGCGCCAGGGUGACAGGACCGUAGCGGUAGCUCGAGAGGGAGUUUCUCGGCUUCUGCAUGCGUUCCCUUCGUCGUGCGGGACAACUGACGGACAAGGCCCGCAUCUUCGAGCGAGGGUUGCGGACCGUCGAUUUCGGUUUGCUGCAUAUCUUCUAAUCCAAACUACCCGGGAGGUGGUGGAUCGGCGGGGGCUCAUUGUGGAGAGCUGGGCGGCAGAGGUCCAGGAGCAGCGAGAGGCUAGUGACAAGGGUAGGCCAAGGAGAGGCGCUGCGGUUUUGAGGGUGCGAGGCCAGACGCACUCUAGUAGGCCGCGAAGAUCGAGAGCACAGCACCGUGGACGCGGCAGCAGCACAGCGAUGGAGGAUACGAUCGGCGCCGGCCUUCCCCCGUGUGUGAUCUCUAGGUGGUUCUCAUUUAACCCACACAGUGUCCCAGCGGGCGCGGCAGGUGCUUACCAGUGUUGGUCAGGAGGGCAGUGCGUUAACGAACGUGCCCGAGAGGUUCUUCAGCCGGCACACGCUCGACUACAUCAGCACGGCACAAAUCUACAGCGAUUCAGACACGGGAUCCGUCGACACAGUACAACCUGGGCGGCCAACGUCCAGCGCCAGAGCGGAGGAAGAUCUAGACAGGCCCCAGAGUGGGAGCAUGUACGCGCUCAAGACGGAGGAGGCGAAAAGGCUAGCCGAGUUUAUGUGGUUGCAGGUAUCAUUUUACUUUGAUGCAUAUAGAGUUCGUGCUUUAUUGAUACGGCCUGAUGCAUUCAUUUAUAGAUCGGCUGUUUGCGAGAUGUGCAUAGAGAUCCCCUUUAGUUUGUCUGUUGCCAUAGGGAAUGUUGUGUGUACCCCACGUUUUGGAUAUUAGAGAGUAUUUAGCCUUGCAGUUGCCCUAUUCGGGUAGCGAGAUUGGAUCAUGCUAUAGAUUUUGCUUGCCUUUGCGCAAGCUGGAGGAUUUUGAUGCGGUCUUGUGGCAUGGAGUUGUUUACCAAGUAUUAUGCCACGAUUGAUUGCAGAAUCGCACGUUUUACUUUUAGAGAACUGGUAGCAGAUAGUGGGGUGUUUUAGAGGACUGCCGGAGUUCGCUGUUUGCGAUAACGAUCAGCUGUGCUCGAGUUAGGCAGUGAUCAGCAGGGGAUGUGUAGCCUAUUUGGUAGUGUUGUGUUGGAGGGCGAAGGAAUGACACCCUAGGAUCGAGGUAUAUCCGGUGAGUGCGAGAGUUUCGGAUGUGUUUUCCAGUGACGCUCACCGGGUAUGCCUCCUAGAUAGGGAGAAUUUGAGUUUUUUUUCUGUGGCAGAUUCUCGUCCCUGGGACUACCCAAUCUCAAACGGCACCCUAUAGCAUGGCACCGGCCCCAGAGCUAGAGUGGAGCUGAGGGCCACACACGCGGAUUUGUUGGACAAAGGCUUCAUUCGGCCGCAGCCGUUUCACCUUGUGUAACUAUACUCAGUUCUUGUUCGUAAAGAAAAAGGAGGAUCACUUCGCCUUUUGCGUGGAUUUAUCUUUGUGAACUUAAUAAAUCACAGAUCAAGAACAAGUAUCGUUGCCGGGAAUCGACGACUGUCUGAUCAGUUCAGGGAUCAUGGUGUUAUUCAAGAUUCGACUUGCCAUUCUAUCGGGGAUACCACCAGUGAGAUCAAGCCUUUUUGAUUACGCGAUAUUGUAUCGAAGACGGCUUUAAUAGUAACGCCGGUAUGGGGACAUAGGUUCCAUACAGUUAAUGCGUUGCGCGCUUACUAAUGCCCCGGCAGCUUUUAUAGGAUUUGAUGAACGUGUCUUUAAGACCUUAUUGGAUAUGGUUCGUCGUUAUGGUGUUCAUCUACGAUAUUUGGUUUACUUCGAAGUGAUGCAGAUACGAGGGCAUUUGGAGAAAAUGUACUCCAAGUACUUCGGAAAAAGGCAGCUUUAUGCUAAGUUGAAAGAAAUGUGAAGUUUGGCUUCGAAGAGGUUAGCUUUAUGUUAUGUCUAUGUGUUGGCAAGUUUCGGUGGGUCGAGUCGGAGUCUUGAAGAAGUCGGAGCGGCAGUAUUGAAGAUCUUGAAGAAUCCAAAACUUCGAAGAAUCGGAAAAAGGAACGCAAACACGACAAACUUGAUGCACUGAUGCGUAGGUUAAGUUUUAAUCUUGUUUAUGGUGAUUCAUUACUUAUUUAUAGAUCCUUACGAAUUCAUAUUUCAAAUUGUAAUUGUUUAUUAAGAAAGUUUCUAAGAAGGAUUGUAAAACCCGAAACAAUGCAUUUUUCAGCGAAAAUGCAUUGUUUGUACCGGCACAGAGGUUUUCCCUUCCUUGUCCAGGAUUACAGCCUAUCUCAGGUUGCGCAAGAGAAGGUUGAUGGUUUUUUGGGUAAACCUUUCACGCUUUCUGCUUACGGUAGCAAGCCAUGUUCGGAAAAGUGAAGUAUCCAUCUGGGCACAGGAGCUUCGCAGAAAAUAUCUUUCGUCAUUAGUGCUAGCCCUGGACAGCUUUCCUUGUCCUGGUACAAGUGCUGAUUUUGGAAAGAAAUUUACUAAUCCCUACUCUGUUUUUGCAUUCUCAAGAGGUCACUUAUAAAUAAGCUAUAGGUGGUAUCUUCUACACAAAAGCAUCAGCAAAAAUAGAUUGAGAAACUUAGAAGGCCGCCGAUUUCAUUUUUCUACAAAAAAAGCCUCUUUUUUAGAUCAAAUUCGAGAUAUUGAAUUUUGAUUAUUAUUAUGUCGAUUUGAAUCUCGCUUCGCUUGGAGUUCUAUUCCCUGGGUUUUCUACGAUACUCCAAAGCCACAGAUCACCAUAUUCAUGAUAUUCUUCAUUAGGUGGCUGUCGUGGAUCGGUCAGAAUCCGUACUUGACGGCGGUUGUGGAUUUUUUCGAGAUCGUGGGUCGUGGAUUGAGUGGCGUCGUGGAUCGACGUGAUUGAAGCGUUGUUGGAUUCGAAGUGGAGGCCUGUUCGUGGGAUGUCGGACGUGAUGGCGUGGAAACCGGAAUCGAGGAACCCGAACGACGACUUUUCUAGUGUUGUAGUGGCCCAACCGAGGAGUGUAGUCGUGACUUUUGCGUUAUGUUGAGAUCGGUUGAUCGGUUUGGUAUCUCGACGCCCUACCGUGAGAUGGUUUUGGUGUGUGCAACUAUAAUAGAUUGGCCUUUUCUUCCCUCAUUGGUGUGUGUUGUUGGGGAUACCUGUGUACCCUUGGAGUGCCGAGCUGAAUUGACUCGCCACUUGGAAACUUGAGCACGAAUAGUGCGAGUUUGAGGAUUUACUUCCGCUAGAUGCAGUUGAUUGCCCUCCCUUACUAAAAUUAGGUAAAGUGAUGGAGAGGGUUUGGGGCUGGUGGCUAUUUAGCUAUUGGGUGGACCGUGAUCGGAUCUUGAAAUAAAGGAGGGGUUUUCCUUGAUCGGUCAUUGUAUCUUCGAUUCGAGUCACAUAAUUGUAUAGCUCGAUUGUGCGGGGGAGGUUUUAUAGUUAGUGAUUUUGCUUCGUAGAGGAAGCACUCUCUAUUAAGUUGUUGGGACCAGGUUGCGGCCGUUGUCGACUGCAUAUGUGACUUCGCUGAUUCAAAUUGACGCCGACCGGUGUGUUUGAGACCAUUGUUGAGGCCCAUUUGACUUUGUCAGCAUGGCUUUGGGCGUACUCGUUAAGAUUGUGGACAAGAUCUAAGUAGUACUGUUUGAUGCUGGAGUUGAGGUUAGCACCUCAAGCGGGAUUGUGAAUGUGUGGGACAUCGAACGGAGCGAUUGAUGUUGCUAAGCUAUCGUAGUACUCUCACCUAGUGGAAGGGGUCAUGAGGCAAUGAUAAUCCCAGGGACCUUGAUGAAAUUGUGGCAAGGGAACAGUUCGCUGAUGACUUUGGGGUAUUUGCAUAGGAUUGUGCAGAGAUGGGACUGCGUUGGCCGAGGCGAUUAAAGUGAUCGAGUUGUGGAACUUCUCUAACGCUGAUUUGGAAGGCCUCUGUGAGAGGCGAAUUGGUACCAAGUUCCACGAAUUUUCGUGUCAAGAGCGUGGGACCAGGUUUGAGUCUUCAGGAUGAACUAGUAGUAGAUUAUGGAUUGAAUUUGGCCUUGAUAGUUGGAUCGGAAUGACCUUUUCGAUAGAGACGGUUAUUGCACCGUGAAUUGAUCCUUCUCUAUACGUGAACUUGAGCUUAAUAGCUACGAGACACUCGGCAGCAACCAGGCUAAGGAAAGAUCUUGAGAUCGAAAUUUCUAAGGAUUGCGUUUGCUGCAACUUUUUUAUCGGAAGCUUUAGGCCCUUAGUUAGGCUUGCAAGAGUUUGCUCGGGACUUCGAGUUGGGACUUAGAUGAUGAUCUUAGCGAAAUGUGAAGCUUCUGAUGCUCAGGCCCCUAACAUGAUUGCAGAGAAUUGAGGGUACCCGGGUGGUAAGUUCGGAUUGACGUGGAAAAACUGCGCCAUGCCGAUUGAGGAAUCAAGUAAUCGCAGGAUGGGCGAGUUUGACGAUCUGCUCGGAUUUCUAUAUCCUAUUGGAAGAGUGGCUAUCUUGAAUGUCGAUCGGAACCGUUGCGUGACCAAAGCACAGAUUUUUGGACGGCCACCUAGUGAUGGACGCUUUGCAAAUAGCAAUGGGAAUUGAAAGGUUUACACCAUAAACUAACUUGGAUUGAUUUGACCUUCAGUUAUGUUAUCAUCUAGAAGAGACUUGAUCUUGAUUCUGAAGGAUCAUAUGGGGUUAAGAGCCGAGAUGUGGACUGCGCAAUCACUAUCUUUGGUGAAUGCUUGAUCGGGUGAGCACUCCGAUGGAGUUGGGUGUUUGGUGCGUGGUAUGUACCCCCCUCCCUGAAUGCUUGCUCUGGACAAUACCCUUAGACAAGGGGACGGCUUGACGAGGGUAUUCUGAGUUGGAACUUCUAGUACAGAGCGAUUGAUAUUAGCUAGGUUUUCCCUCGACUUGGACGAGUGAAGGUGACAACUGGAUUUCAGCUUUUGUGAGACUAGCGUUCAUGAGAGACAAUGAGGACUGUGUUGAUCAAGCGCGGAUCAAGGGGAUGGCGGAAGUUAAGGGGGAAACGUAGCUGUGAAGGCUAGUCGGUCCGGGAACGUUCAGAGAUAGUUUGAUUGAGUUUGCCAAGUCUUGGCAUCGUGGGUCUGGUUGUUUUGCCGUGGAGUUUACCAGGUAAGUUUGAACCUUCGUGGUCUAGCUUAUACGCUCGUUAGAGCGUUUCUCUAUCUCUUUGGAUGGAGUCUGUGUUGAGGUGAUCCGCAGUUUACAUGGCGUACGAAACUCUUUUUAGAGGGCGCUGAAUGUAACACACUGGCUUUGAAUUGGAGGUCUUGAGUGGUUGGUUUGUGUUGCUGAGCAAUUCCAGAUUUCUGGUGGGUCGUUGACACCUGUCCGACCUAUGUGCUCGGAAUCCGUGUGAAGUGGGGCUUUAAAGCCUAGCACAAAUCCGAAAAAAUCAGAUUUUUGGCAGCCUCGGCGUAGCCUUCAGCAGAGGCGCUACCUGUACCGGUACAAGGUGAUGGUUGUACCGGUACAAGGUAGGGUUGUAGGUACAGGGACUUGUACCGGUACAGGCGGUUUACCCGCCAACCCGAGCCUCGGGUAGUGUGAUUUUCGUGGGGCUUGUAACGGUUACAAGGCCGUGUGUCCGGUACAAGGAGGCUUAUUUCAGUGCAGUUUGACUGGGGGGCCAGGGUGUUUUUGCAUUUGUGUUUUCUAUUUGAACCCCACUCCUAGGGUCUCAUUGACGCUUGGCACAGGCAGCGAGAGAAUUUAGGGAGCCUCCUCUUCAUCUCCUUCAUUUUCUUGAUUUCGGCUAUUGUGGUUUUUGGUGAUUAAACCCCCUCUUUUUGAUCUCUUCUUCGCUCUCUCUCUGCGCACGCGCCUCUCUCACUAUUGUGAGACUUGGAUGAGGCUUAGCUUGAAGGAAGUCUUGGUUUAGAUUGGACUUUGACCUUCGGUUGAGAGCUUUAAGACGGUUAGUAAGCCCAUUGGUCUUCCUGUAGAUUUGAGUUUUGUUGCUUUAUUGAUGAAUGCAAACCGUAGAUUGUAGAUUUAGGGCUUAGUUCUGGGCAUUUUGAUUCUAGGGCUUUUGGGGCUAAAUUAAUUGGAUUAAACCCUCCUUUUUGGGUCUGGAUUGGAAGGAUCUCUAUCACCUUUUUGUUGAGCUUGUGAGAGUUUUUCUCCACACUAGGUGAGAUUUAGCCUUUUGCCUUAUUUAUUCAAUGUUGAUCUUCCUAUUAGGUUGAUCAUAAUGUCGUGUUAUCUCUCUCGCUCAAUAUUUUGGAUAUUUUUGAGAUCCUGUUGGACAACUCGUUCGGAUGAAACGAGGGACUACGCGUGACGGAUCGGUGGGUUUUUGACCUGAGCACACACAAUGAGACAAAUUCUAUCAUUGUUGAUGAUUUAAGUGUUGUUAAAUGUAUUUAAGGCAUGCCUAUUCAUGUUUAGAUGCAUUAUUUGAGAAUUUUAGAAUGCUUAAAUUGCACAUGUCAUAUACCAUGCAUAUUUGACCUCUAUAUAGUAGAGAGUUUUUUUCAUGUUGGGCUAGGGGCCUACGGUUAGCAUUCUUACAUUUGAUUGAGAUCAUGUUGAAUAUGGUGCAUAUGGAAUGUAGAUUACACUCUUGGACUUAGAAUGCAUACUUGACAUGGUUGGACAAAUCGACAUUAAGUGACAUAGGCUAGAGUGUAUACAAAUAGUAAGCUAAUGUCAUAAAGCGGCAUUAGGUUUGGACUAGAUAUGGACUUAGCAAGCUAAUGUCAUAAAGCGGCAUUAGACUUAAUGGGUAUGUAAAUUGCAUGUGCAUGUUAUUAUUAUGAGAAUUAUGCCAAGUUGAUAGUUGCAUUGGAUAGAAUAAGCUAACGUCAUAAAGAGAUUUAGAAGGUGAAAUGUGCUUAGAUUAUAGCAAUGUUUAAGUGUCAUAAAGAGGCACUAAACAUAGUGAAUGUCGGAACUUCACCUUGAGAUUUAGACUUAGUAAAGCUAAGGUCAUUGACAUCGAAAUUAUUGAACAGUUAAACCUUCACAUUGAGAUAUAGUACUAGACCUUCGGGAUGCUAGUGACUGUUACCAUGUUAGAGACAUGAUGAUUGGGUACUUGAGAUUUUGACCAUGCUUGUUUGCCAUUUGUGCUCAUUCGCACAUGCUUGUACGGGUCGCUCCCUACAAGCCGGCACUCCGGAGUUAGCCUACGCGACUUAUGUUCGCUCGUGCGGUAUUGAGUAGCCUACGGGGCCUGGAGGGUUAGACUCAUUCCUAGAGUGGGGAUGCUGGAGCUACCACUGGCACUUAGGCGGCACAAGCCGGACUACACCUGCGUAGAUCCUGAUUGAGAUUGAACCAGAAUAUUAAACAACAAGUUUACAUUCACUACUAGCUAGGUUAUAGCAGUUGGACUCUUGAUAUGCUAUGGCAUAGGGUUGGACAUUUGGGUAUUUAGUGUACAUAACAUUAUCGCUUGUUGCAUUGUAGUACACUUGGUUGCCAUGAUAAUACAUACUAGAUAUGUUGUUGGCUUUGGGACAUAUUAUACUCCAUAGUAUUAUUCGCUGCAUUAUAGCAUAUUUGUUUAAAUAUUGGCAUACUGGAUCAUGUAGAGUAGAUGUACUCCAUGUUGACAUUCUACAUACUUGUGGCAUAGUAAACUAGCAUCUUAUUAUUAUGCUUCAUUUACCGCAGUUAAUUUCUAUUAUCUUUAUCUGCUCUCUUUUGGGCCUAGUGGUGCAGUUGGUGCAGGUCAGUAAUUGCCCACUGGGAACUAUAAAUUAUAGUUCUCAUGCCCCAUGUUUUAUGUUUUCUUUCAGAGCCUUCCACUUCGGGAGGGGCUCGGGAUCGCGGGAGAGGUUUCGCCUCGAGCUAGCUAUCGAGGGAUUUGGCGAUAGGUGGUCGGCCUCUCUUUUGUUUUCUGUUGGAGAGGUUGUGAGAGUUUUGUACCUUGUUAUAGAGACCACCCUACUUUUGUAUCUGGAGACUUAUGAUGUAUUAGUUUCUUUAUGUUCUAGUGGUUUAGUUUCUUUUUCUUUCCUUUUUACUUCCGUUUACUGAUAGAACUUAGCUGCAUACUUGCUCUGAUAUCGUUAGUUAUUGUUUAUUUUAUCUUUCAUAUCACCUUGUUGUAGACGCCUUAUAUGUGCAGGCAUAUGGCGGGUCUGGGCACGCACCGAGCAGGGCCUAUGCCGGGUCCCGGGGCGUGACAGAUUAAUUUGGUAUCAGAGCCUAGGGUUGAGUCUUAGUGGACCUAGCGAACCUUAGGCCGGUUGGACUAUAGGGAUUAGACUCGUGAGAGACGAGGUCUAUUUGACUUGUAAGGGAAAGUACAAUGAUUGGGUUUACUUGAUAACUCU
rnacentral:lncRNA from 1 species